AGCUGGGAACUGCAGUAGCUCAGUUGAUUGAGCAUUCAACUUGUAAUCCAAAGGUUGCAGGUUUGAUACCUGCUCAGGCCAGCUG